UACGUAGGGACCAAGCGUUGUUCGGAUUUACUGGGCGUAAAGGGCGCGUAGGCGGCAAUUCAAGUCAUCUGUGAAAUCUCCGGGCUUAACUCGGAACGGUCAGAUGAUACUGCUUUGCUAGAGUACUGGAGAGGGUAACGGAAUUCACGGUGUAGCAGUGAAAUGCGUAGAUAUCGUGAGGAACACCAGAGGCGAAGGCGGUUACCUGGACAGUUACUGACGCUCAGGCACGAAAGCAUGGGGAGCAAAAGGG
rnacentral:rRNA from 1 species